rnacentral:rRNA from 1 species
UACGGGAGGCAGCAGUGGGGAAUAUUGCACAAUGGGCGCAAGCCUGAUGCAGCCAUGCCGCGUGUGUGAAGAAGGCCUUCGGGUUGUAAAGCACUUUCAGUCAGGAGGAAAGGUUAGUAGUUAAUACCUAUUAGCUGUGACGUUACUGACAGAAGAAGCACCGGCUAACUCCGUGCCAGCAGCCGCGGUAAUACGGAGGGUGCGAGCGUUAAUCGGAAUUACUGGGCGUAAAGCGUACGCAGGCGGUUUGUUAAGCGAGAUGUGAAAGCCCCGGGCUCAACCUGGGAACUGCAUUUCGAACUGGCAAACUAGAGUGUGAUAGAGGGUGGUA